GACAUCGUCCUCACGCUCAUCGUCGUCCUUGCAUCUGGUCGCUGUCAUCUGCCUCAAGUUGAUUAGAAUUUGGGGUUUUCAUAAGAUGAAAUUGAGAUUAGUCUCAGAAGAGGAGCAUAAACAGAAGGCUAAGGCUAAGGCUAAGGCUAAGGCUACUGCAUUAAAAGUGUCCUUUAAUUUCCCUCUUCACAUGCAAUGACUAGCAAUGAUAGCAAUCCUCAUACUAGUGUUCUUAGACACAUGUUUAUAGAUGUUUAUAGAUGUCCUUAAUUUGUUUUUUUUUUUUUUUUGUUUGGAUAGAUAUGGAUCGAAGGAAGCUUUUAUUGAUCUUAUUGUUAGAGAUGUCUUAUUUGGAGACAAUUUGUAUUUGUACGAUUCUUGUGGUGAUGAUGCUACGUGGCAAACAGAGACAUGUUGAACGACCCACAUUGACUAACCGUUCACUUAUUAGACGAGAGAUUAGUUUGUGUUAUCUGAAUGGUAUAAUAGGGAAUACUGAUACUGAAUGUGUGUCAACGAAUUGA
rnacentral:sRNA from 1 species